UAGCUCAGUUGGUAGAGCAUGGUGCUUGCAAUGCCAGGGUAGUGGGUUUGAUUCCCAU
rfam:Salmo salar isolate Sally breed double haploid chromosome ssa22, whole genome shotgun sequence.